rnacentral:lncRNA from 1 species
AUAUAUAUAUAUAUGGGGGAGGGGGGGGGUCCCGGAUUGUUACAUAUGUACAUGGGGGGGCCCCAAGGAAAAAGGUUGGGAACCACUGACUUACAGUAUAUGAGCUAUUUAGUUGGUUUAAGGUAGAUAUUGAGAUACAUGACGCGAGUGUCGCGUCAUAAAGCAAACAUUUAACGUUAAGUUAUAACGUUAUAUGCGACGCGACACUCGAUCGCCUCAUGUGUCCAUAAACUAUCAUGUAAAAUAAUAAAGACAAAAAAAAACAGUUUAAAUAAAUUAAAAAUCAGCAAUAACUGUGGAACCAAAUAAAUGAGAAUAAAAACUACUUUUAUGUUUUAAGGAAGCAUGGUUCAGCCCUGGACGAAGCCAUCGUCCAGCUACUGGAUUUCUGGAGGAACGCUUGCGAAAUGUCAGGAAGAGAACCCGUCGUGAAAACUGCACAAGCCGUGAGAAAGAGGAUUCUCAAGCCAUAAGCAGCACCUUGGUUAUACCAGAGCCAAGUAUUUCACCUGACAGAGCAGUACAACUUGCAGAAUGGCUUAAAAAUAAUAUAUGGCCAGCUAACCAAGUUGCAGAUUACAUGAAAGAAACAGCCAUCCACAUGGCUCAGUGGAUAAGAGCUAACGGGACAAAAUCUAUCGAGGAAAUAACUUGUGAAUUCCCUCGACUCCUUGAUACGCCAGGCAUGAUUUCACAAGACUUCUCUGUAUUAUUCCCCGACCACGCAGAGAGACUUUUCCAAACUUGGAAAAUGAGUUUCAAAGACAAAAUCCUUUGCUUUGCCAGCCAGGAGAAAAAGGCGCAGGAGCUUCUCCAGAAUUUAGACAGUUUGUCUCCAGAAGUCCAAAGUGACGUUGCACUCAGGCUGCUUCCUGUAAUACUGCCCACCCCUGUCUACAAAAAAGGGAUGAAAAUGUUCAAACCAAGCUUGGAAGAAAAUAUCAAGUCUUUCAUUGAAUUCAAGCAUGUUGGGACCAACAUGGUUGAAUUUUUGAAGGAGGCAGAGCUCACUAAACCCUUCCCCUUUGUCCUUGGUCUUGGGGAUGACAGUCAAUGCCAUCAAGCCUUUGUAGUUGUUGGCAAACAGGCACUGCAUCAAAACACACUCCUUGGUGCUGUGGACACAUGCUUUAAAUUUUUUUAUGUUUUAGACAUCCAUUUCCCGAAGCAGUGUGCACCAGUGUGGGAGUUUUUGCAGACUGUUGUCUACAAACUCCCAGGAACUGAAUCUCCUUCUGUAAGACUGCUAUAUUAA